UACGAAGGGGGCGAGCGUUGUUCGGAUUUACUGGGCGUAAAGGGCGCGCAGGCGGCGCAUUUUGUCAGGCGUGAAAGCCCCGGGCUUAACCUGGGAACUGCGUUUGAUACGGAUGGGCUAGAGUUCGGGAGAGGAGAGUGGAAUUCCCAGUGUAGAGGUGAAAUUCGUAGAUAUUGGGAAGAACACCGGUGGCGAAGGCGGCUCUCUGGACCGAGACUGACGCUGAGGCGCGAAAGCUAGGGGAGCAAACAGG
rnacentral:rRNA from 1 species